rnacentral:rRNA from 1 species
AUUGAACGCUGGCGGAAUGCUUUACACAUGCAAGUCGAGCGGCAGCGCGGGGGCAACCCUGGCGGCGAGCGGCGAACGGGUGAGUAAUACAUCGGAACGUGUCCUUGAGUGGGGGAUAGCUCGGCGAAAGCCGGAUUAAUACCGCAUAAGCUCUGCGGAGGAAAGCGGGGGACUGGUAACGGCCUCGCGCUGUUGGAGCGGCCGAUGUCGGAUUGGCUAGUUGGUGGGGUAAAGGCCCACCAAGGCGACGAUCCGUAGCUGGUCUGAGGGGAUGAUCAGCCACACUGGAACUGAGACACGGUCCAGACUCCUACGGGAGGCAGCAGUGGGGAAUUUUGGACAAUGGGGCAACCCUGAUCCAGCCAUUCCGCGUGAGUGAAGAAGGCCU